UAGCCGUAAACGAUACUCGCUAGGUGUCGGCCACGGUGCGACCGUUGUCGGUGCCGUAGGGAAGCCGUGAAGCGAGCCACCUGGGAGGUACGGCCGCAAGGCUGAAACUUAAAGGAAUUGGCGGGGGAGCACCACAACGGGUGGAGCUUGCGGUUUAAUUGGAUUCAACGCCGGAAAUCUUACCGGACCGACAGCAACAUGAAGGCCAGGCUGAAGACUUUGCCGGAUUAGCUGAGAGGAGGUGCAUGGCGUAGUCGUGU
rnacentral:rRNA from 1 species